AAGUUUCAGCUCAUCGGGGUGAGAUGAUUAAAUGAAGAUGGAUGAAGAUGGCUGUUUCUUCGGCGAUGGAGGCACUCUAGCUACGUUUCACCGGAAGAGUAGAUGUUUACGAACUGAACUUUUGGAUCGGAUAUAUGAAGACGCGCGCUGCAUUUUCCUUGACGGAGACGCACAGCUCUGACACUAGACAAUAUUAUACACUCAAAGGGACCGCGUUUCGCCGGAAGAAUAAAUAAUUACAAAUGGUAUUCGUCAGUGAACAUUUUCAAACUGGGAAUAAUAUAUCAUAAGCAGAUUGAAAUGUGUGAACGUUUCAGUGUUUCGAAGACUAAGUUUCGUAGCAGAUUUUGAUUCCGU